GCGGGUGUGUUGGAACUGGUAGACAAGCCAGACUUAGGAUCUGGUGCUUCGGCGUAUGGGUUCGAGUCCCUUCACCCGCA
rnacentral:tRNA from 1 species